GACGGAGGAUGCAAGCGUUAUCCGGAAUUAUUGGGCGUAAAGCGUCCGCAGGUGGUUUAUCAAGUCUGUUGUUAAAGCGCAGGGCUCAACCUUGUAUAGGCAAUGGAAACUGAUAGACUAGAGUUCGGUAGGGGUAGAGGGAAUUCCCGGUGUAGCGGUGAAAUGCGUAGAUAUCGGGAAGAACACCAGUGGCGAAAGCGCUCUACUGGGCCUGAACUGACACUGAGGGACGAAAGCUAGGGGAGCGAAAGGG
rnacentral:rRNA from 1 species